rnacentral:lncRNA from 1 species
CCACUUCCUGUGUGGAUGAGAGAAAAUUGGAAAAACUUGCAGCAGAGCUGGAGAAGCAAGACCUGCACAACUGUCAAUCAAGGAGACAUUCUAAAUGGAAUAGUGACCGGAGAAGGACAGUUGAAGGAAGGAUCAGUUAAACUGAAAACCUUGGUCUCUUGCCCUUGGGACAGAAAGGAGAAAGGACAGAAAGGUCCUGCUCUCUGGUUUCUCCCUAUAAUAUUCAAGUGACUGAAUCUUCAAACCUGUUGGCCAAUUUCCCAAAAUCCAGACUCUAUUCCACUAUCCUCCAAUUUAGGAAUUAUUUUAGGAUUAGGGAAACCUCAAACCCUCUCUCCCCUCAACUCCCCUACUUUCCCCCUUAUCCUAAAAAAAACCCCUUAUUUAAAGUUAUCAAAGAGAGAGUUUCUGUCUGUUAUAUCAAGAUACUCACUUAAAGCAGACUUCCAGUGAUACCAACUGUAGACUAAUUGAUGGGGAAGGGAGGAGGGAGGUAGAAGAGGGAGGAUGGAAGGAAGGGAGGAGGUUGGCAGAUAUGACCUUUAAUUCAUCAUCUCCCUCUCAGAGUUAUUCCCUAAUAUACCUGGCAACUUUCAGAUCGUACUGCUCAAAGAUUAACUUUCUAUCCUUUCAGCUCCUCCCUAAGUGCUGUUUGGUACAAGAUACCUCAAGACUAUACAUUUCAGAGGAGGUACUGACAUAUAUUGGACCCAAGGCUUUCUGGGAAGUAUCAGCUUAUGAUUGUGUCCUGAGGAACAAAGCAAAAGAAAGUACACAGACAAAAGAGGAAUUCUUAAAAAAAAUAAAAGCCCUAAACUUACAAUAAAAAAUCAAGCCAAAUUCAGUUAUUUCUGUUUAAACUUUGACAUUAAAUUGCUUGUAAGUCUUUAUUUUUAUUAUUUUUGGUUAUAUAUUAACAAGAAAGGCAACAUGGUGGAGAAAGCUGACCAGCCUCAGAAACUGGAAUCAAGUCCUACUUCCACCAUAUACUGACUGUGCAAUCCUAGGCAAAUCCCAUAACUUCUCAAAGACCCUGUAGCUCCCCAAAGCUAUAAAUCGAGCAGGUGCUAAUCUGCUUUGGUAUAGGGAAUUUUCUCAUUUUGGGAGAGUUCCAUAUGUUAAUGAAUCACACAUCAGUUCCUCCCCAUCCCCAAAAUGUAAUGAACAAAUGAAUGCUAUAAGAAGAUAUUCAUUUUUGUGUCUGUGUGUAUCCAUCUUUCAUCUGGUUCUGUUAUUUCCCUGGGUGUGGGGAGAAUCCCCAGUGAUGAACCUCCUUCUACGAAUGCAGUGUAGAAACUGUUUUAAAAAAUUAUACAAUGACUUUAGAGGGAAUCUGAGGCACUGAAAGAGUCAAUGAUUUGCCCAAGAUCACAAAUGUGUUGGAAGUGCAUUUAUGUCUUCCUGACUCCAUGACUUGCUUUCCAGCCACUACACCAUGUUAGCACUAUUCUUAUCAAUACAGAAUCUUCCAGGAACACUAAACUCAGAGUGAAGUGUAUUAGGAAUAAUCCAGUUUGUUUUCUCCACUUCUAAAGAGGUCAUGUACUUAGGUUUGCUUUAAAAAUAUUGGAAGGGUGGCACAUAUUUGAAAUGUUCUGCUCUUACAGAGAUAUUUUUGUUCUAGAGUCUAGAGUUGACACUUAACUUGUUCCCUAUUCAGCCUGUGGCAAAAUGUUUUGAUUUUGUGGCAGAAAUGUUUGACUUUACUGAAUUGAAAUGGCAGGUGGAUUUUUCCACUUGUGAUGUCUGCUUUGUUUUGUUCAGGGAAGUCAGGAAAAUAUAGUCAUUCCUGCCCCAGAACGAUAGCUUUGGGUUUAAAAUUGGGG